AUUAGGAUUGUAUGACAAUGAGGAGGUUGGGGAGGAACCUGGGCCAGUCCUGGAGGCCGAAGAAGGCUCGGACAAGGGCUCUACGCCAGAGGUAGAGAUGGGACCAAGGCAGGCUGGCAG